ACCCGCUGAACUUAAGCAUAUCAAUAAGCGGAGGAAAAGAAACCAACAGGGAUUGCCCUAGUAACGGCGAGUGAAGCGGCAACAGCUCAAAUUUGAAAUCUGGCGUCUUUGGCGUCCGAGUUGUAAUUUGCAGAGGGCGCUUUGGCAUUGGCAGCGGUCCAAGUUCCUUGGAACAGGACGUCACAGAGGGUGAGAAUCCCGUACGUGGUCGCUAGCCUUUACCGUGUAAAGCCCCUUCGACGAGUCGAGUUGUUUGGGAAUGCAGCUCUAAAUGGGAGGUAAAUUUCUUCUAAAGCUAAAUACUGGCCAGAGACCGAUAGCGCACAAGUAGAGUGAUCGAAAGAUGAAAAGCACUUUGGAAAGAGAGUUAAAAAGCACGUGAAAUUGUUGAAAGGGAAGCGCUUGCAGCCAGACUUGCCUGUAGUUGCUCAUCCGGGUUUUUACCCGGUGCACUCUUCUAUAGGCAGGCCAGCAUCAGUUUGGGCGGUUGGAUAAAGGUCUCUGGCAUGUACCUCUCUUCGGGGAGAACUUAUAGGGGAGACGACAUGCAACCAGCCCGGACUGAGGUCCGCGCAUCUGCUAGGAUGCUGGCGUAAUGGCUGU
rnacentral:rRNA from 1 species